CGGUGACGUGAUGGCCUACCAUCUUUCGGGACUGACUCUGCCUGGAGAGAACUGUCGCUGCUGAUCACCU
rnacentral:snoRNA from 1 species